rnacentral:lncRNA from 1 species
CCACCUUUUAUUAAAAUACUUUCUCCCUCAUUUUAACACACUUCUGAAAAAACUAAGAGAGAUGGGAGAGAGGGUUGUUGAGAGAGAAAGUAAAUUCUUCAUCAUCUAGUCUUUAAAAAUCAUUGGAGCUUGGGAAAUUCUUGGUGCAUUGUCUUCUCUAUUGAUUUCUCAGGUAAAAUACCUAACCCAUUUCCCCCAUAUUUCAAAAUUAAGCUUGGGAAGGGAACCCCAUAGACUUGCUUUGAAAUUUCUUCAUUAAAUCUUCAUGCAUGUCUUUAAAACCCUAAAAUCUUGUAAAAAGGGGAUUGGGUAAAGACUAUGAGUUUAAAUUUCUAAAACCUAAGUGUUGUUCAUGAACUAGAUUGACUUCUUGAUUUUUUGGAUUGGGCUAAUGUUUUAAAUGGAAUAAAUCAACCCCAGGUAUGUAUGGAUAAUUGUGAUCCUUGUGAAAUUGCCCUGUGCUAGUUGUGAAAUUGCUGAUAGUUGAUAUUAAUGUGAAGCUUUUGUGUUGUAUAAUUGUGUGGUAACACUUUGUGGUGAAAGUUGAGGAACAUGUAAUUGGAACAAUGGAAUCAAUGUGGAACAAUGGAAAUGGAAAUAAUGUGGAACAAUGGAAAUGAAAACAAUGUAGAACAAUGGAAACAGGAAUAAUGUGGAAUAGUGUAAAUGGAAAUAUUGUGGAACAACGUGUUCGAUUAGUUUUGAAUGACUGUUGUGAUGGUAUCAAUGGUGUACCAAUUUGAUGAACACGAGGAAUUGUUGUUUCUAGUUGUGGAAUUGCACUACCCUUGUUAUGGAUCUAUAUUAACAAUGUGCUAUAGUUGAUUUCUUGUAUUUGUUAUUGUGCUAUUUGUUGUUGUCAAUUAAAAAACUGUCAGGCGGCGUAGGGUUGCAUGCCGCAACACGGUGAAAUAAGGUGUAUGUUUGGGUGAUAAGGUUAGCCGAGGUAAUAAAGGUGGAUGAGGAUAUAAGGGUGGAUAAUGUGAUCCAAUAUCACUAUUGAUAUGAAUAUGAAUAGUGAAAUGAUAAAUGCGAAAACAAUAGGUUCCAUCAAAACCUUAGACAAGGAAUUUAGCUACUCAUGGGUAUGGCUAAAAAAGAAAAAAUAAUAUUCAUCAUAUACUACCAAUAAAAUGCAAAAGAAAAGAAGAAAUAUGGUUUGGGUAUUCCCUCACAAUGUUUUUCCUUCAAAGAACUCUAAAAACUUAAUACAUGCCUCCUUUGAGCGAAGUCUAGUAUUUAGAAUACGUUAUAGGCUAAAUUACUGUGUUGACACUUUCGUCCCACAAGUUUACUAUGCCUACCGUGGUUCUGCCACAGUCGCAGUAGAACUGCGACCAAACAUCCCCUCUGAUACUCUUCUUGUUCGCGAUAGCAUCUCACCGCGGUUCUGCCGCGGUCGCGGUGGAACAACGACAGAACAGUUUCUCUAAUUCUUGAGCCUGUUUUUGGCGUGGUUCACUUAGGACUUUUCCCGAUUGGCCUCUUUUUCUUCAUUUUUGACUCCAAAAGUACUCCCGAACCUUCCCUAGUCAUAUAUAACCUGCAAAUCAUGAAAAGCACUCGUAAGAGCAUUUGGUUAUCACUUUUAUUACCAAAACUAUGCAAGAAAGUGAUUAUUUAGGGCCUGAAGAUAGUUAAAGUCACAUAUUAUUAUGCCCAUAUAAGUAUUUAUAUUAACCAAACUGCACACCAUCAAAUAUAUAGUAUUGUUAAGCAAAUCGGUUCCACUGGCUACGAUUGUGAACAAAUAUUGGAAAAGAUAGUUAAAUUCACAUAUUAUUAGGCCCAUUUAAGUAUUUAUAUUAACCAAGCUGCACACCAUCAAAUAUAUAGUAUAGUUAAGCAAAUCGGUUCCACUAGCUAAGAUUGUCAACAAAUAUUGAAAUAAAAAGGACAGAUCGGUGCACUGAGCAUUAUCCUAUAUUUAUGAAGAAAAUAGUUUUUACAGUUCAAAUUCUAAUCUCUUGAUUACAUAACACCAACUUUGCUCAUUAUGCCAUUUCCCCUUCCCAAAAGAAAUUAAAAUAAAGGUUGAAAAAUAGUUGUUGGCGACUAAUAAAUCCUUUCUAAAAAAGGUCAUAAUAAAAGAGGUACUUCCUUCUAUUUGUUGGAACAGGAUAGCAACAAAUACAUUGAUCUAAUUCGUCAGAAAAGAAAGAAUCUCACGUGAUACUGGUUCUAUGUCUCUGAUCAACUCUUCACAGAAUUGUAUUAUUGUUUACGUUAUCUAAUCAAUCAAAGACUAAAGAUGAUACAAUGUAAAAAAAUCAGUUUAUAUGGUUGGUUUGGGAAAUUACAUCUAUAACUAAACUCAUACUCGAGCAGUUAAUAUUCUUGUUCUUAAAAGAAUAGACGUAGGCCUAAAAUUUAAUACCUUACACUUGAAAGAUACAAAUUUCAAAUUCUCUUUCUGUUUUCUAUUUACUUAUCAUAAGCUGGAUUUGCCUUCAUAAAAUCUUUUGCUCCUAGAUAACUUUUAUUAACUCAUUAAUAUUAAGUACUUUUCUCUUCAACUUCAAUUCAAAUACUUUCUAAUAUUUACUUAAGUUGAAACAUUUGGGAAGAAGUAGAAGUGCAUUAAAAUUAUAAGCAUAAUAAACCUUCCUUCCUUGUUAGAGAUUAUCCAAAAUGAGAAAACUGAGAGGACAUGAUAGACACCAAUAUCUAACUCGUCCUUUAGGACUGAUAUGCAUAACUCCAUGCCAAAUUCCCACAUCUUUGUCGUCCCAGCCAAAUGACAGUGACACUUGUGCUUGCCAAUACUCAUUUAGCAAUCGCAAAAGGGGCUAGAAUAUUAGGUACGAGCCUAAAAUAUUUAGAAGCUUUUACUUGGAUCAUGUAUUGAUAUUAAAAUAUUUAUCAAUUAUAUAAUGAGUAACUUUUACAUAGCUUUUACAACUAUUACAAAAAAAUAAGUUUACAACACACAAUUUAACUGUUACUUCAAUAGUAUACACAAAUAUAAGUUAUACUCAUGGAAAUUAAUGUAAGGCCCCGUGAAAAUGAGUGAUCAUGGGCAUGGGUAAAAAAACUGAAUAAAGAUGUGGGUGAACAAUAGGUUCCAUCAAAACCUUAGACAAGGAAUUUAGCUACUCAUGGGUAUGCUAAACAAACUAAAUUAAUAUUCAUCAUAAAUUACUAAUAAAACUCAAAGGAAAAGAAGAAAUAUGGUUUGGGUAUUCCCUCACAAUUGUUUUUCCUUCAAAGAAAUCUAAAAACUUAAUACAUGCCUCCUUUGGUUGAUGUCUAGUGUUUCAAAUAGGUUUUAGGGCUAAAUUACCGUGUUGACACUUCGUCCCUCAAGUUUAUCCCGUGGUUCUGCCGCGGUCUCGGUAGAACCGCGACCAAACAUCCCCUCUAAUACUCCUCUUGUCCGCGGUAGCAUCUCACCGCGGUUCUGCCGCGGUCGCGGUGGUACAAUGACAAAAAAAUUUCUGUAAUUCUUGAGCCUGUUUUUGGCGUGGUUCACUUAGAACUUUUCCCGAUUGGCCUCUUUUUCUUCUUUUUGACUCCAAAAGUACUCCCGAGCCUUCCCUUGUCAUAUAUAACCUGCAAAUCAUGAAAAGCACUCGUAAGAGCAUUUGGUUAUCACUUUUAUUACCAAAACUAUGCAAGAAAGUGAUUAUUUAGGGCCUGAAGAUAGUUAAAGUCACAUAUUAUUAUGCCCAUAUAAGUAUUUAUAUUAACCAAACUGCACACCAUCAAAUAUAUAGUAUUGUUAAGCAAAUCGGUUCCACUGGCUACGAUUGUGAACAAAUAUUGGAAGAAAUAGGACAGAUCAGUGCACUGAGCAUUACCCUAUAUUUAUGAAGAAAAUUGUUUUUACUAUUCAAGUUCGUAGUCUCUUGAUUACAUAGAAACAACUUUGCUAGUUAUGUCAAUGCCCCUUCCCAAAAGAAAUUAGAAUAAAGGUUGAAAAAUAGUUGUCGGCGACUGAUAAAUCCUUACUAAAAAUGGUCAUAAUAAAAGAGGUACUUCCUUCUAUUUAUUGGAACACGAUGGCAACAAAUACAUUGAUCUAAUUCGUUAUAGAAUUUUAUAAUUGUUUCCGUUAUCUAAUAAAUCAAAGACUAAAGAUGAUACAAUCUAAAAAAAUCAGUUUAUAUGGUUGUAUUAGGAAAUCACAUCAAUAACUAAACUCAUAUUCGAGUAGUUAAUAUUCUUUUUCCGAAAGGAAUACACGUAGGCCUAAAAUUUAAUACCUUACACUUGAAAGAUUCAAAUUUCCAAUUCUCUUUCUGUUUUCUAUCUUAUUAUCAUAAGCUGGAUUUGACUUCAUUAAAUUUUUUUCUCCCAGAUAACUUUUAUUAACUCCUUAAUAUUGUGUACUUUUCUCUUCAACUUCAAUUCAAAUAGUGUCCAAUAUUUACUUAAGUUGAAACAUUUGGGAAGAAGUAGAAGUGCAUUAAAAUUAUAAGCAUAAUAAACCUUCCUUCCUUGUUAGAGAUUUUCCAAACAAUGAGAGAACUGAGAGGACAUGAAUGACAUUAAUAUCUAACUCAUCAUUUAGGACUGAUAUGUAUAACUCCCUGCAAAUUCCCACAUCUUUGUCUUCCCAGCCAAAAGAAAGUGACACUUGUGCUUGCCAAUACUCAUUUGGCAAUCGCAAACGGGGCUAGAAUAUUAGGCACGGGCCUAAUAAAUUUAGAAGCUUUUACUUUGAUCAUGUAUUUAUAUUAAAAUAUUUAUCUAUUAUACAAUGAGUAACUUUCACAUAGCUUUUACAACGAUUACAAAAAAUUAGUUUACAACACACAAUUAAACUGUUACUUCAACAUUUUUAACAAAUAUAAGUUUUCCUCAUGGAAAUUAAUGUAAGGCCCCGUGAAAAUGAGUGCUCAAAUGUUAGCAGCUCAUAGAGCCGAGUAUCAGAUUCUUUUUAUUGUUUUGAACUUGAAAAUGUGAAAUCAAUAUUUUUCCAGAAAAUGGUCAAAAUACGGUCCAGAAUGCGGUCGCAGAUCAGCUAUGCGGACCGCAUUCCUACCGCAGAGUAAAUCAGAUAGCAACCAAUUUUUUUAUGUUGAAAAUGCUGCCAUUUCUGCGAUCGCAUACUCAAUAUGCGGACCGCAAAGUGAUCGUAUAUUGUCCGUGAGGAAAUUCGAAGGUCAGUUCUGCGGUGUAUUGUGCGACCGCAAAACUCAAAUGCGGACCGCAUAUUCACCGCAUUCGCAAACCGAGAGGUUUGAAAUAUUGGCCAAUUUUGCAGUCCAUUCUAAAGACCACAUGUCUGUUAUGUGAUCAUAGAUCAAACUCGCCUGGUAUUUUUCUAAAAUUUUUGACCCUACCACCUUUUAUUAAAACACUUUCUCCUUCAUUUUUAACACACUUCUGAUAAAAAUAAGAGAGAGGGAGUGAGGGUUGUUGUGAGAGAAAGGGAAUUCUUCAUCAUCUAGUCUUUCAAAAUCAUUGGAGCUUGGGAAAUUCUUGGUGCAUUAUCUUCUCUAUUGAUUUCUCAUGUAAAAUACCAAACCCAUUUCCCCCAAAUUUCUAAAUUAAGCUUGGGAAGGGAACCCCAUAGACUUGCUUUGAAAUUUCUUCAUAAAAUCUUCAUGCAUGUCUUCAAAACCCUAAAAUCUUCUAAAAAGGGGAUUGGGUAGUAAAUAUGAGUUUAAAUUUCUUAAACCUAAGUGUUGUUAAUGAACUAGAUUGACUUCUUGAUUUCAUGGCGAAUUGGGCUAAUGGUUUAAUUGGAAUAAAUCAACCCCAGGUAUGUAUGGCUAACUGUAAACCUUGUGAAAUUGCCCAGUGCUAGUUGUGAAAUUAUUGAUAGUUGAUAUUCAUGUGAAAAUUAUUGUGAAGCUUUUGUGUUGUAUAACUGUGUGGUAACACUUUUUGGUGAAAGUUGCGGAACUUGUAAUUGGAACAAUGGAGUCAAUGUGGAACAAUGGAAAUGGAAAUAACGUGGAACAGUGGAAAUUAAAACAAUGUAGAACAAUGGAAACGUGAAUAAUGUGGAAUAGUGGAAAUCAAAAUAUUGUGGAAUAAUGUGUGUGAUUAGUUGUGAAUGACUAUUGUGAUGGUCUCAAUGGUGUACCAAUUUGAUGAACACGAGGAAUUGUUGUUUUUAGUUGUGGAAUUGCACUACCCUUUAUGGAUCUUUGUUAACAAUGUGACAUAGUUGAUUUGUUGUAUUUGUUGUUGUGUUGUUUGUUGUUGUGAAUUAAAAAACUGUUAGGCGGGGUCGGAUUGCGCGCCGCAACACCGUGAAAUAAGGUGUGGGUUGGGGUGAUAUGGGUGGCCGAGGUAAUAAGUGUGGAUGAGGAAAUAAGGGUGGAAAAUGUUAUCCAAUGUCACUAUUGAUAUGAAUAUGAAUCAUGAAAUGACAAAUGUUAAAAUGUGAAAGGAGACAGCAGGAAAGUUUGCAACCUGUGGGGCACUGAUCGCCCCUUUGUAUGACUACUUGGAUCAUUGUUGUGAAAUGUUUUGUUGUUGCUUCAUGGUUGUACUUGCACUAUUGUUGUUCUGUUCUAUACUUGUAUAUGUAAUUUGGCUUGAGUUUACUUGGGACAGAGUUUGUUCAUACAUGCGAGUACAAUUCAAAUGUUCUGACGUCCCUCUUAUCGGGAGUGCUACAUUCAAUUUAUGGUUGUAGGUAGUUCCGUGGCAGGCACCCAGUCUACCGUUCAUAGAUCCUCCUUCUCUCUACCAGCGGUAUUCGUUUUGGUGAGCCCCUUUCCACUCGGGGCCUUGUGUGGCUCAUGCCACCUAUGUUGUUGUAUUUUGGAGUCUUGUGUCCUUUUGUAAAGGUAUAUCCGGGGCCUUGUCGCCGGCAAGCGUUAUACUUUCUCUUAGAGGCUCCGUAGAAAGUAGUAUGCGGGUUAGAACUUAUGUAUAAAGGUGUAUGUUUUGGGCGCUGUAAAACUUGUAUACCACAUUCCCUGUUAAUUAUAGUAUAUGUUUUGUAAAAGAUGUUCG